UGCUUGAAUUGGAUUCCCCUGACCCCGUUCUUUUCCCCUUACCCAACCUCUCCUUCUUCGGCACUGGCGACCGCUCCGGUGAAUUCACCUUGACCAGAGAAACCACCGGCCAUCUACAUUGACCACCGGCGAUCAUCCGACCAUUUCACUGUCAUAGAAAUUAGAGAAACCACGGCAACAGUGCUUUUUUCUCCGGCACCGGCGAAGUGUUUUGUCGAUACAUAUGUGAUCUGAUUGGUGUAGGUUUCUGAAGUGUUUUGUUCCUCUCCUAGUAGGAUACAUGACGGGAACUUCAUACUUGUUAGUAUGGGAGAAUUAAAUGGUUCUGUACAUUCCCUUUCAUACUGCGGUUGACAUUGGGAAAUCACUGAACUUAAAUUCAUUUGUUGUUUAUCCUCUAAAUUAUUUGAUGUAAUUCUUUUGAUUUAUGUACUGCUUUUCGAAAAGCACGAAUUGUAUCUCUCUCUCUGAAAAUAUAUUAAUUAAACUCUAUGAAGGAGACCUGAAUAAAGUGAUAUGCGGGUAGAAGACCGAUUGGAUAAAAAAGAGAAAGAA